UACGUAGGGUGCAAGCGUUGUCCGGAAUUAUUGGGCGUAAAGAGCUCGUAGGCGGUCUGUCGCGUCUGCUGUGAAAACUCGGGGCUUAACCCCGGGCCUGCAGUGGGUACGGGCAGGCUAGAGUUCGGCAGGGGAGACUGGAAUUCCUGGUGUAGCGGUGAAAUGCGCAGAUAUCAGGAGGAACACCGGUGGCGAAGGCGGGUCUCUGGGCCGAUACUGACACUGAGGAGCGAAAGCGUGGGGAGCGAACAGG
rnacentral:rRNA from 1 species